rnacentral:tRNA from 1 species
GGUUGAGUAGGUUAAGAAGACCUGUGGACUCAUAACCCGACAGUGCCGGUAAAUGGCCUCAACCU